CCCUUAGAUGUUCUGGGCCGCACACGCGCUACACUGGCAGGUUCAUCGAGCUUCAUGCCCUGAUCUGAGAAGAACGGGAAAUCUUUGAACACCUGCCGUGCUUGGGAUAGAUGUUUGCAAUUAUUCAUCUUCAACGAGGAUUGCCUUGUAAGCGCACGUCAUCAGCGUGCAUUGAAUACGACCCUGUAUUCUGUACACACCGCCCGUCGCUCCUACCGAUUGAAGUUUUCGGUGAAUUUACUGGAGAUCCCUUUUGAAGGUGGUUCGCCACUGGAAGAAGUAUUAAAAAGUAAAUGAAUCGAAUGCUUUAGAGGAAGGAGAAGUCGUAACA
rnacentral:rRNA from 1 species